rnacentral:misc_RNA from 1 species
GAUGAAGAACGCAGCGAAAUGCGAUACUUGGUGUGAAUUGCAGAAUCCCGUGAACCAUCGAGUCUUUGAACGCAAGUUGCGCCCGAAGCCAUUAGGCCGAGGGCACGCCUGCCUGGGUGUCACACGUCGUUGCCCCCCCAUCUACUCCUUCGGGAUUGCGGGGGGCGGAUGAUGGCCUCCCGUGCGCCUCGUCGCGCGGUUGGCAUAAAUGCCAAGUCCUCGGCGACGCACGCCACGACAAUCGGUGGUUGCGAAACCUCGGUUGCCCGUCGUGUGCGGUCGUCGCGCAUCGAGGGCUCGAAAAAAUUGCCGGGCUCCGGCUCGGCUUUCAACGCGACCCCAGGUCAGGCGGGGUUACCCGCUGAAUUUAAGCAUAUCAAAAGCGGAGGA